AAGAAACUUGCAGAGCAAUACGUCGAGACAGCUCAACAUACAACAAAAUAAGUAGCGGCCUACUGAUAGUUACGCGAUGUACAGCAUUCAACUCCUGGUUUUUCUUUCCUAUUCUUUUGCAUAUUGCUUCUGUUUUUUGUAUUUAUACUGAAGCUCAAAAAGUUGCACUAGGGGACUAGGGUGAUGUAGCUGUAAUUUAGUCUGAGUCCCA
rnacentral:misc_RNA from 1 species